CUGUAUGCAGAUCCAACCUGAGGACAGCACAUGUGAUGAUCAGAGCAGAGAGCAGACAGACGGGAAGACGGACGCAGAGAGACCCUCCACCUGGAAAUGGAUGACCUGCUGCUGCUGCUGCUGCUGUGGAGCUCAGGACUCCAGGCUGAAGGAGACCUCACCUCAACAGAGUCUGUCAGGUUGGUGGGAGGAGCCAGUCGCUGUGCAGGAACACUGGAGGUGAAACAUAACGGAGAAUGGAGACCAGUGAAUG